rnacentral:lncRNA from 1 species
GGUCAGGAGUGAUUUGAGGAGGGGGUGAGCAGGAAGAAGGGAACAUGUCUUCAUAAUUAUUCCCUGCCUCAAUUUCCAUCAGAUAUGGGGAUCCAGGCAAUCCAGGAAAGAGAUUUAAUGACAUCACCUUGGCCAACAUUCAGGAAUUCAGAACUCUAAGUUACCCUGAACUAUCUAAAAACGAAAAUGGAAAGAUAAUUCUGCUUCAUGUCUGGUGUACUCCAACUGUGGAUAAGGUGCCCUUCAGGGCCUUAAAGGACAGGAACAAAGUAUGGCAGUUUGUCAUCAGAGCUCCAGGAAGCCACGAGGAAACUGAGCUUAGGAACCAAAUUGCUCAAAAUGGGAAAGAAAUGAAGAGAUGUACAGCAGAUGCUCUCAGCCUGGAAGUGUAACCUUCGGGAAGAAGGAACCACCAGUCAUGCUAAUUGGUCUUGAACAAGGCUUGUUUGCGCUGAGAGAUGAGAGAGAGCACCCCAUUUCUUCCUGAUUCAGUUCUGUAGACAUCUUUCUGGGAUUUGCAAUUGAUAAUUAUAGACACAGAGAUACACUUGGCCUAAUUUGCCAGCCUAUUUGGAGUCAUGAGUGUCACCCUGUAUGUCUGGUAUAUGUGCAGAUGGUUUCUGGCGGCUUCAAUAAAAUCAGAAAACACAAAAUCUCUAUUUUUUUUUUCCAGACAAUUGAAAGGGGCUGGUUGUCAGUGUCCUGGGUGUUGAAAUGAAAAAUAUUAUGCUGAUUUUUUAGAAGUGUUCCUUAUGCUUAUAGACCCAUAAUUUCACUACACUCUGUUAUCUAGGCUAAGUGUAGGGGUGAGGAAGUAGAGUCAAUCAAUACUGGUAUCAGGUUGGAAUUAGUGAAUGCUUUAACGCAGUACAUAUAAUUUCUGAUUUCCAUUUGUAAACUGA